rnacentral:pre_miRNA from 1 species
UAAUACCGACUCACUGACUGUAUGUCUGGUACUAAUCUUAAUACCGACUCACCGGUAUUAAGAUUAGUAGCAGACAUACAGUCAGAGUGAGUUG